CGGGACGGGUGAGUAACGCGUGGAUAACCUGCCUUACACUGGGGGAUAACACUUAGAAAUAGGUGCUAAUACCGCAUAAGCGCACAGAGCCGCAUGGCUCAGUGUGAAAAACUCCGGUGGUGUAAGAUGGAUCCGCGUCUGAUUAGCUGGUUGGCGGGGUAGAAGCCCACCAAGGCGACGAUCAGUAGCCGGCCUGAGAGGGUGAACGGCCACAUUGGGACUGAGACACGGCCCAAACUCCUACGGGAGGCAGCAG
rnacentral:rRNA from 1 species